UAAGCCUUAGUUUAAGGAGAAUUAUCGACUGUUAAUCGAAGGGUAUAGGUAUAUAGGUUUAG
rnacentral:tRNA from 3 species